AGUGCAGAUGCUGAAACUAGUAAGGGAUACCAACCUGUGGUAUCCUAUCCUCAGAGAUUGGCAGCUGGCAAAAGUGGAGUUGUGAAACUUACCUUUGGGAACGUGGCACUUAAGUUGAACGUUUUCAACACUUGCAAGAUGCCGGCACAAGUUGAAGACACAAGUGAUUCUUCUCUACCAUUUCAAGGGACUGAGAGAACACCUUCUGAAUGGUCCACCCAAAAUAAACGUCGGUUUCUCUCCGAGCUAAGAAAACAAUUUCAAAAAUUUUGCAAAUCCCGAUGGAGUGGGCCGUACAUUGUAAAUCCCAGGGAAGUGUCUUGAUUUCCUUUUUCCUUC